UCAAAUUAAUUAGAUCACCCUAAAUAUGAUUCUUUACACCACAAUCUCGAAAUUUUAACAAGGCCAAAUGCCCAACGAACAAUUGUAACAAAGGACUUGAGAAAAAAAAACUUUCCUCUACGAAUUGAACUUGACUAAACAAAGACGAAAAGAACCAAAACUAAUUGAAAGUGAUGACAACAGGAGAAAGAUCACACACAAAAAAACAAAACAAAACAAAACAAAAAAAAAUGAAUAUG
rnacentral:lncRNA from 1 species